UUGGAAAAACUUAGAAAUGCUACUGAGUUGCAAUUUUUAAAUUAUCUAUCUGGACACGGUAUAAAAACUCAUAAUAACUUU
rnacentral:sRNA from 1 species